rnacentral:tRNA from 1 species
GACUCGGUGGCUUAGUUGGUGAAGCAAUCGUCUAGCAUACAAGAGUCUUGGGUUCCAAUCCCACCUGAGCA